rnacentral:rRNA from 1 species
AUUGAACGCUGGCGGCAUGCUUUACACAUGCAAGUCGAACGGCAGCGCGGGCUUCGGCCUGGCGGCGAGUGGCGAACGGGUGAGUAAUGCAUCGGAACGUGCCCAGUCGUGGGGGAUAACGCAGCGAAAGCUGCGCUAAUACCGCAUACGAUCUCUGGAUGAAAGCGGGGGACCGAAAGGCCUCGCGCGAUUGGAGCGGCCGAUGUCAGAUUAGGUAGUUGGUGGGGUAAAGGCCCACCAAGCCAACGAUCUGUAGCUGGUCUGAGAGGACGACCAGCCACACUGGGACUGAGACACGGCCCAGACUCCUACGGGAGGCAGCAGUGGGGAAUUUUGGACAAUGGGCGCAAGCCUGAUCCAGCAAUGCCGCGUGCAGGAAGAAGGCCUUCGGGUUGUAAACUGCUUUUGUACGGAACGAAACGGUCCGGGUUAAUACCCUGGGCUAAUGACGGUACCGUAAGAAUAAGCACCGGCUAACUACGUGCCAGCCGCCGCCGUAACAC